ACCUGGCUGGCUCAGUCAGUAGAGCAUGUGAUUCUUGAUCUCAAGGUUGUGAGUUCAAGCCCCGUGUCGGGUG
rnacentral:tRNA from 1 species